rnacentral:rRNA from 1 species
GAUGAACGCUGACAGAAUGCUUAACACAUGCAAGUCAACUUGAACUUCGGUUUGGGUGGCGGACGGGUGAGUAACGCGUAAAGAACUUGCCUCACAGUUAGGGACAACAUUUGGAAACGAAUGCUAAUACCUGAUAUUAUGAUUUUAGGGCAUCCUAGAAUUAUGAAAGCUAUAUGCGCUGUGAGAGAGCUUUGCGUCCCAUUAGCUAGUUGGAGAGGUAACGGCUCACCAAGGCGAUGAUGGGUAGCCGGCCUGAGAGGGUGAACGGCCACAAGGGGACUGAGACACGGCCCUUACUCCUACGGGAGGCAGCAGUGGGGAAUAUUGGACAAUGGACCAAGAGUCUGAUCCAGCAAUCCUGUGUGCACGAUGAAGUUUUUCGGAAUGUAAAGUGCUUUCAGUUGGGAAGAAAAAAAUGACGAUACCAACAGAAGAAGUGACGGCUAAAUACGUG